AUAGCUGAGGUGUCCCAAAUAGGACGAAAUACGCAUCCUACAU
rnacentral:hammerhead_ribozyme from 1 species